GUUUAUAUAGUUUACUAAAAAUUUUACAUUUUCAUUGUAAAGACAAAAUUAUUUUUAUAAAUA
rnacentral:tRNA from 1 species